GAAGCUGGUGCUUUAUGAUGAAGUCACUCUCCCCCUUGCAAGGUUGCUGGAACAAUUUUAUCAUGAUUCUGAUAUUUGACAAUUAAAGUAGUUGACUGUUUCACUCCUUUUGCCUUUUAAUAUUCUAGGAACCACCGCCCAAAGAGAGGAUCUGUUGCUGUCAAUAUUACGCAUCACUCUUCUCAUAGAUAUCCAGCAUAUACAAAGCUCAGAGAAGAUAAAAAUGAAGAGGAAAUUGGUUCUGUUCCUAAGGAAUUUAAUCUAACAGGAGAGACAACUGAAUCCACUGCAAUAUCCCCCAAAUGCAGGCCUUGUUUAAAAGGAGCAAGGAGAGUACAAAAAGAGGAAGCAAUUAAUUCUAUUUUGGGCUUAGGAAGAAGGCUUGACGGGUUCAUGGCAAUUGGGCUUAGUGUUAGGAGAUAAGAUUUUCCAGGUAUAAAUAACAGUGUAAAUGUCUUAAAGAUGUGGAAGUUUAUGGCUUCCUAUUACAACUAUUUAUCUUCUAUCAUUUAAAAUAACCUGUACUACAUUGCAAAAGUGCUUGGAACUCCUUCUAGUUAGCACACUAUGCAUAUGUAUAUUUUGAUAUCAGAAAUUUACAGAUUUUAAAAAUUGCUUCAGAAUUUUCCUAACAUCUGCCAAAGUGAAGAUCCAUAAUUUGAUGACUUACUUAUGUAAAAUAUGUUCUACAUAAUUUAUUUUAUGACUCAAUAAAGUCAUAUAUUGAAAGACAUAUACUUUUAUGAAUUAAUAUAACCAGUAAGUUAAACUAGCAUUACUCAUAGAUGAAACCACAAAGCAACUUUGUGUUCAAG
ensembl:lncRNA